rnacentral:rRNA from 1 species
GACGAACGCUGGCGGCGUGCUUAACACAUGCAAGUCGAACGGAAAGGCCCUGCUCUUGUGGGGUUCUCGAUUGGCGAACGGGUGAGUAACACGUGUGUAACCUGCCCUUGACUUUGGGAUAACUUCAGGAAACUGGGGCUAAUACCGGAUAGGAGCUCCUGCUGCAUGGUGUGGGUUGGUAAGUUUCGGCGGUUGUGGAUGGACUCGCGGCUUAUCAGCUUGUUGGUGUGGUAGUGGCUUACCAAGGCUUUGACGGGUAGCCGGCCUGAGAGGGUGACCGGCCACAUUGGGACUGAGAUACGGCCCAGACUCCAACGGGAGGCAGCAGUGGGGAAUAUUGCACAAUGGGCGGAAGCCUGAUGCAGCAACGCCGCGUGCGGGAUGACGGCCUUCGGGUUGUAAACCGCUUUCGCCUGUGACGAAGCGUGAGUGACGGUAAUGAGUAAAGAAGCACCGGCUAACUACGUG